GUAGGUGAACCUGCGGAAGGAUCAUUAUUGAAUGAACUUGGCAUGAUUGUAGCUGGUCCUUUCGAGGGCAUGUGCACAUCUGUCAUCUUUAUCUUUCCACCUGUGCACCAAUUGUAGGUCUAUAAAUUUUUCCCCGAGACACUCGGGGGGGCAUGGGGCAUUGCUGUGUGUUACCACCAGCUUGCCCUGCAUUUUCUAGAUCUAUGUUUUCACAUACACCAUAAAAUGUAAUAGAAUGUUAUUAUUGGGCUUUUAUUGCCUAUAAACUAUAUACAACUUUCAGCAACGGAUCUCUUGGCUCUC
rnacentral:misc_RNA from 1 species